CAGUGGCGGAAGGAAUGGCAGGAGUUAAUUGUCUUUUCAUUAAAUACACUGAUACUGGUUUGUAUAACAUACAUAUCCCAAAAGCGAUGCAAAUUUAUAAAGUUUCGGAAAUAAAAGAUAUCAACCUUUUACUGAAAAAUGUGCUCUGUCUGAGAGUGCAUCACUUAGCAACUCACAAAUCAACUGCUUCACAAGAUUAAUUGACUCAAACAUUAAUCUAUUGUCAAAUGAUGUCAUUUCUAAAAGUGCAAUAAAAUCUAACGGACUAAGUAUCUAAGUUAUUGUAUAGACGAUAUAAAUUGUUAUCUUACAUGAGUAAUAUUUAAAAUAUCAUCAUUAAAAGACAUUUUAAUUAGCAUUGUUUGGAUAUGUUAAAACAUGGGAUUUUCAUUUUAGAAUAGAAUUUGACUUAAUUAACGGAGUUUCUAAUCGAGCAUUUGAUACUAUUUUCAGCACUAAUCGAUAGGCAAAAUAGAGUCACUGUGGUUUUAGUGGAAUUCAAGCCUUGAUGGACAUAUCGUCUGUAUUUGCCCUGUCAUGCUAAUGGUAGAUAGCUCAUAUUACCGUGUGCACAAAACAGAAAAUCCUCGAUGGCCGGACAGACGAAUGCUUCAUUCAGGUUUAAAAAGGCAAGAAGACAGUGUUUGACAUUAUUGAAAGACAGAGAAAAAGAAUCGGUUGCAGAAAUCAAAUAUAAUCGUACCGUCCAGUAUUUGUAGUUUUCCGGCAGUUGAAAGUCAGAUGCCUGCCAGAUUGAUUUCAAGCAUACAAGUGAGAUAUAUUUGCAGGAGUAAGAACCGAGCAUGAUGAAUCCACAAUAGACCUUGCACAAGCACGUCCACCCAACAACAAAGAUUUAUUUUACAUUUUCUUUACACAUAAUUACGAUUUGUAUUGUUAUUUGUAUAUCUUGUAUCUCAUAUUUAUAUGAUGUUUAAGUAUCCCUUAUUCCCGCUCUUCUACCCCAACCCCACACAAUUCCAUCCUUUAGUAGAUUUUCAGCUCGGCUAUUCGAAGAAUAAGUAGAGCUAUCCUACUCACCUCGGCGUCGGUGUCGGCGUCGUCGUCACACCUUGGUUAAGGUUUUCCUAGCAGCCCACAUUUUGAGAUAAAGCUUUAAGCACUUAUGUGUCAUCAUCAUACCCAGUUUUAGUUAAGAGUACAUAACUCUAUGAAGGAUUUUGUCUGAAUUAUGGCCCCUUUUAACUUACAAAUCUUGGUGGAGUUUUUCAUACCAGUUUAUAUUUUAUGGAAACUGUUUGACACGGGGCUUUGAAACUUUCAUUACUUGUCAUUAUAGUCUCUAUCUGUCUGUCAACUAUUUUGGCUGAAUUAUGGCCCUUUUUGGACUUGGAAAUUGAUUCAGUUUUUGUACAAGUCCAUGUUUUGUCAAAACUAUUUGACAUGUUGCUUUGAAACUUUGACACUUGUUUAUCAUCAUGAUCUCCAUCUGUAGGCAAGAGUACAUAACUCUGUCGAGUAUUUAAGCUGCAUUAUGGCCUUUUAAGGACUUGGAAUUCAGUCCAGUUUUCAUACAAGUCCACGUUUUGUCUAAAGUGUAUGAAACUUUGAACACUUGUUUAUCAUCAUGAUCUCCAUCUGUAGGCAAGAGUACAUAACUCUGUCAACUAUUUUGACUGAAUUGUGGCCCUUUUUGGACUUGUUAAAUUUAUUGUACUAAUUCAUAUUAUGUCUACCCUGUUUGUCAUAUGGCUUUGAAACUUUGACCACUUGUUUACCGUCAAAGUCUAUCAUACUAUGUAGGCAAAACUACAUAACUAGGACUUUGUCUCAGUUAUGGCCGUUUUUGACAUCGAAAUUAGUUUUGCAUAUCAUUCCGUAUUUUUUCUAAACUAUUUGAUAUGUGGCUUUGAAACUUUGAACACUUGUGUACAAUCAUGGUCACACAUUGUCAUAUAAUGCAAGACGUUCAGUUCCGCAAAUACAGGUACAUUGUUUGUCUUAUCUAUUUUUUUCAGUUCUUCGAAAAGUCGAGCGCACUGUCAACAGACAGCUUUUGUUUAUUUCUCUCAAACUGAGUCUCACCUCCAUCUCCACUUCUACAGCAUCACCCCUUCCCACACCCUCCCCGCUUUAUAUAUAUAUAUAUAUAUAUAUAUAUAUCGUCUUAUUUUUACAUCUUUCAAAACUUGCAUCUCAUGUGGAAUCUUUGCAUAGGCCUUAUAUACCUUCCCCCACCCCACACAUACUGCUAUCCCAAGCCACUUCCGGAAUUUUUUUCUUACCUUAUAUUGUUUCCCUAUCUCCCCGCACCAACACCCCUCCCCCCAUGUAUUUUGGUAUACAUUUUCGAAUUGUCGAGCAGGCACAACUACGAUCACUAGGUCCAAGGUCAAGGUUACUCUGUCAAAAGUCACGAUGACAACAUUUUACUUUCCUUUUAUUAAAGCGGCGCUAGGGAGUAUUAAAUGCCUUCAGUGACAGCCCUAGUUGAUGCCUAAAUGUGUAACAGUUGCUUGUUUGAUAUGACAUGUUUUCGCUAAAGUUUAGGAUAAAUAUCUGUAUUUAAAUUGAGAAAAUUACUUUUUCGGAACACUGAUACAGUCGCACCCUUUUAAGACGCAUCGACUUAUUUCAGCUUGAUUUGUUAUUCGUCAUGGAAUUACAUGCAUCUUUAUUGUUUUUCUGGUUUAUUUUAAAAAAAAUAUAUAUUUUUAUGAACGCAAAAUGCACAUUUGACUCGGAUAUACAUAUAGCUCUAUAUUAAACAAACAAGGACAGCUAAUAUUUGUAAGAAGCCACAUAGAAUUCUGAUUUUGUGGCGUCUCAAAAUUUACUCCUUUAUUAUAAUUACUUUUAAACUGGACAGGGGUAGUUUUUAAAGAUAGAUAUGCGUGGAUCAGUUUAGGUACAAAAAGCCAUUUUCGCAAAUAAUAAAUUUUGUGACUGGAGUUUGUUCCAGUGUAAGAUCGAAAUAUCGAACCAUUCUAGGUGCAUAUGGCAAAAAUAUGAACUCUUGUGUUCACGCGAGAAAAAUAAGAUCUUGGAUAUAAACCAAACAAAUUUUAUUUUAUGCAUUUAAAUGUUUGUGUACUAAGUUGUAUAAAUCAUAUCAAUUGUAAGGUAACGCGCAAUGCGCAACGUUGCGCUUACUAUGGCAAUAUAAUUAAUAUGUUGGAUAGAGUAAUAUAAUUCUACGAGAUUGAUUUCUUUUACAGUUUAAUACAUUUAUUUUCUAAUGUUUGUUUGUCUUUUUUGUUUGUUUUUCAUUAAAAUCUAUCCGAUAUUCUCUCGCGUUAAAUUGAUGUUGCGUGCAAGUGAAAAUUGAAUUUGGAUUUCCCACUUCUGAUACACUGGGUUUAUCAGGGUGUAAUAUAUCGUUAUGUUUCAGUAAUACCCUGAGAGCUUUACAUGAAAUUCCAUACUCUAGUUAAACAAAAUGUACAGAAAAAUCAUAGCUGUUUUAUUCAAACACAAUCUACCGUCUCUCUUAAGUGUAGCUUUAUAAAGUCGUUUUGGCCUCAAUUUUUGUUCACUGAAUUUUAUACUGUUUGGUUUAACUCUUAACCGAUGACUCACUCCGAGCACUAACCUUAAUCCCUGGGGCUGAAAUGACUUUUAAAGCAACUUUCUCUUUUAUAGGUACAAUGUUUAAACUUUAGACUGGUAUGUCCUUAGAAAUGAUGGGUGAAAAUAUGCGCUGAUAAAAAGUUUAGUAGAAUUGUGGGCAAACAUUUAGUUUUUUAGUAUGCGGUUUUGUAUGAUUACUGGAAUGUAACGUUAGACAAUAACAUGAUAAAUUCAUUGUUUCAAUUGGAGAGAAGUCCAAAUAAGGUUCUCACUUGUACGGAACUACACUUGAUAAAAUAUGAAUUGUGAGGAAUGGAAAUGUGCUCCAAAAAGACAAAGGUGUAUAGUAAUGCUUACAAAAACACUUAAGAGCACGCCAAAUCAUUAGAAUGUAAAAGAAACAUAUCUCGUAGAACUAUAUAACUUUUUCUAACAUUAUUAUUGUGACGUCAUGAAAUAUAGCGUCACGUUACGCAUAGCGGAUGUCCCUGCGCUGUUUAAUAAGAUAAGAUAAGAUAAGAUAAGAUUAAUGACAAGUUUAUUUCAACUUGACAAGACAUAAAACAAUACGACAUAAGCUCUGAAUGAGCUUUUCCAUCCACUAAUGUAAGAGUUAAAAAGAACGUGUAAUGGAGAAUAAUUUUUCAUCCGGGAACACAAGAUUUAAGUGAAAGAUGUUUCGAUCUUAUACUGAAACAAACAAAUGCUCCCUUUCUAUAUCUUUUUACAGCAGUAGAAGGUAAUAAGCAUCAAUACUUUGAGGAAAAACGGCUAAAGAAAUAAGACAGAAUUGACUAAAAGAAUCCCUUAUUAUUUUGAAAUGAUUGUCAAAAUUUCAAUAUCAGUAUAAGUGUUGUUAGAUAUUUUUCUUGUUCCAUAAUCCGAAGAAGAAUGCCUUUUCACUUGUGAACAUUUACUGUUUUGAAAUGACAGUGAAUUUUUUCGUUAUCAGUAUCGCUGUUGUUUUAAUCCCGAUAUGAAUACAUUUUCACAUUUGAAACUUUGCUGUUUAUACCCCCACCAAACAUGUUUGAGGGGGGUAUAUAGGAGGCAGUUUUGUCGCGUCCCGUCCCGUCCCGUCCCGUCGCGUCCCGAAAUCUAUUAUCUCAGUUAUUACCAAAUGGAUUUGAUUCAAACUUAAAAUACAUGUUCCACCUUAUCACCCACAUCAUGUGACACAAGGUGCAUAACUCUUGACACCAAGUUUUCAUGAAUUAUGUCCCCUUUUACUUAGAAUUUAAGGUUAAUUUUGUUGUAUUUUCACUAUAUCUCAGUUAUUACUAAAUGGAUUUGAUUCAAACUUAAAAUAGAUAUUCCACCUCAUCACCCACAUCAUGUGCCCACAUCAUGUGACACAAGGUGCAUAACUCUGACACCAAGUUUUCAUGAAUUAUGUCCCCUUUUACUUAGAAUUUAAGGUUAAUUUUGUUGUAUUUUCACUAUAUCUCAGUUAUUACUAAAUGGAUUUGAUUCAAACUUAAAAUAGUUGUUCCACCUCAUCACCCAGAUGAUGUGACAUAAGGUGCUUAACUCUGACUUAAAUUUUUUAUGAAUUAUGUCCCCUUUUACUUUAAAUUUAAGGUUGAUUUUGAUGUAUUUUCACUAUAUCUCAAUUAUUACAAAAUGGAUUUGAUUCAAAGUUAAAAUAGAUGUUCCACCUCAUCACCCACAUCAUGUGACACAAGGUGCAUAACUCUGACACCAAUUUUUCAUGAAUUAUGCCCCUUUUUACUUAGAAUUUAAGGUAAAUUUUGAUGUAUUUUCACUAUAUCUCAGUUACUACUGAAUGGAUUCGAUCCAGACUUAAAAUAGAUGUUCCACCUCAUCACCCACAUCAUGUGACACAAGGUGCAUAACUCUGACACUAAUUUUUCUUGAAUUGUUUCCCCUUUUACCUAGAAUUUAAGGUUAAUUUUGAUGUAUUUUCACUAUAUCUCAUUCUGAUUGGCUUAGAGCCAAAGGGAAGUAACCUUUUUUUUAACUUUUGUACUGAGUUUCUUCCCCUUAAAUUCCAGGAAUUAGUCUAUUUUUAGAAAUCCUAUUUUUAGAUUUUCAGUAUUUUAGGUAUUUUUAUAACUUUUUUAUUAUAAGUCCUAUGUAGAAAGUAAAAACAUUUUUCUGUGGUAACAUGGGUCGGUAAGACCCUUUUUUGUAUUCACUUUUAGUGUAUCUCUAAUAUUAGAGAUUUAAUAUAUUUACUUGUAUUACUAUACUAGUAUUAUACUAGUAUUACUUACAUGUGGAAGCCCAGGAUGAAGUACUCCAAAGUAUUUUUAAGAUUCCUUAUAGUUUCCAUUCUUCUGUGACAAGACCGUAUGGUGGGGGUAUGAGUCACUCCUGUGACAGUUCUAGUUUGAAACAACAGUCAAAACUUCAUUAUCAGAUCAGUGUAACAGUUGUGAGAUAUUUUUGUUUGAUUUAUAAUAUGCCCUUUUCACUGUUCUGAAAUGACAUUCAAAAUUACAUUACCUGUAUAACUGUUGUUAAAUAUUGUUUGGUUUAUUAUCAUAGGAAGAGUGCAUUGGAAGAGUGCAGGUUCACAUUUAAAAAUUUCUUCCCUCUCUUAUCUAACAAGCAUAUAUGUCUAUUAUAAUCAUAGUAAUGAGUAUUAUUAAAUACAUUUUAUACUUUGUAUUUUAGUAAUGUAUUUUUCCAAAUCGCUGCUUGUUUCUUAAUGACCGUUAGAACUUUAAAUUUAGUCGUAAGCUUACCAUUUUUUCUUAAGGAGUUUACUUUUUGAAGCGAGAGCUUGGUUCAGUUGAAUGAUUUUUGUAGAUGUAUUAAAUUUUAAAAUGUUAUUUUUUUUCAAAACUUAAAUACUAUAAUUGCAAUUUACAAUUCAUGUUUGACUAUUUGUGCUAUUUAUUGCUGCUAGAAAAAUGAAUAA